rnacentral:rRNA from 1 species
AAACUAACAAGGAUUCCCCUAGUAGCGGCGAGCGAAGCGGGAAAAGCUCAAAUUUGUAAUCUGGCGUCUACGACGUCCGAGUUGUAAUCUCGAGAAAUGUUUUCCGUGUUAGACCGCAUACAAGUCUCUUGGAACAGAGCGUCAUAGUGGUGAGAACCCAGUACACGAUGCGGAUGCCUAAUACUUUGUGAUACAUUUUCGAAGAGUCGAGUUGUUUGGGAAUGCAGCUCAAAUUGGGUGGUAAAUUCCAUCUAAAGCUAAAUAUUGGCGAGAGACCGAUAGCGAACAAGUACCGUGAGGGAAAGAUGAAAAGCACUUUGGAAAGAGAGUUAACAGUACGUGAAAUUGUUGGAAGGGAAACACAUGCAGUCAGACUUGCUAUUCGGGGCAACUCGAUUGGCAGGCCCGCAUCAGUUUUCGGGGAUGGAAAAUCGUAGAAAGAAGGUAGCAGUUUCGGCUGUGUUAUAGCUCUUUACUGGAUUCAUCCUUGGGGACUGAGGGAACGCAGCGUGCUUUUAGCAUGAGCUUCGGCUUAUCCACGCUUAGGAUGCGGGUGCAAUGGCUGUAUAUGAC